CCUACGGGUGGCAGCAGUGAGGAAUAUUGGUCCAUGGGCGAGAGCCUGAACCAGCCAAGUCGCGUGAAGGAUGAAGGAUCUAUGGUUUGUAAACUUCUUUUAGAUGGGAAUAAAGUGAGGAACGUGGUCCUUUUUGUAUGUACCAUAUGAAUAAGCAUCGGCUAACUCCGUGCCAGCAGCCGCGGUAAUACGGAGGAUGCGAGCGUUAUCCGGAUUUAUGGGGGUUAAAGGGUGCGUAGGUGGUUAAUUAAGUCAGCAGUGAAAGUUUGUGGCUCAACCAUAAAAUUGCCGUUGAAACUGGUUGGCUUGAGUAUAGUUGAGGUAGGCGGAAUGCGUGGUGUAGCGGUGAAAUGCAUAGAUAUCAUACAGAACACCGAUUGCGAAGGCAGCUUACCAAUCUAUAUCUGACGUUGAGGCACGAAAGCGUGGGGAGCAAACAGGAUUAGAUACCCUAGUAGUC
rnacentral:rRNA from 1 species